GGGGCAAUAUUGCACAAUGGGCGCAAGCCUGAUGCAGCCAUGCCGCGUGUAUGAAGAGGCCUUCUGGGUUGUAAAGUACUUUCAGCGCAGGAGGAAGGCGUUGUGGUUAAUAACCGCAGCGAUUGACGUUACUCGCAGAAGAAGCACCGGCUAACUCCGUGCCAGCAGCCGCGGUAAUACGGAGGGUGCAAGCGUUAAUCGGAAUUACUGGGCGUAAAGCGCACGCAGGCGGUCUGUCAAGUCGGAUGUGAAAUCCCGGGCUCAACCUGGGAACUGCAUCCGAAACUGGCA
rnacentral:rRNA from 1 species